AGUCGAGCGAGCUUGCCAGAUGAUUUUAGUGCUUGCACUAAAUGAAACUAGAUACAAGCGAGCGGCGGACGGGUGAGUAACACGUGGGUAACCUGCCCAAGAGACUGGGAUAACACCUGGAAACAGAUGCUAAUACCGGAUAACAACACUAGACGCAUGUCUAGAGUUUGAAAGAUGGUUCUGCUAUCACUCUUGGAUGGACCUGCGGUGCAUUAGCUAGUUGGUAAGGUAACGGCUUACCAAGGCAAUGAUGCAUAGCCGAGUUGAGAGACUGAUCGGCCACAUUGGGACUGAGACACGGCCCAAACUCCUACGGGAGGCAGCAGUAGGGAAUCUUCCACAAUGGACGAAAGUCUGAUGGAGCAACGCCGCGUGAGUGAAGAAGGGUUUCGGCUCGUAAAGCUCUGUUGGUAGUGAAGAAAGAUAGAGGUAGUAACUGGCCUUUAUUUGACGGUAAUUACUUAGAAAGUCACGGCUAACUACGUGCCAGCAGCCGCGGUAAUACGUAGGUGGCAAGCGUUGUCCGGAUUUAUUGGGCGUAAAGCGAGUGCAGGCGGUUCAAUAAGUCUGAUGUGAAAGCCUUCGGCUCAACCGGAGAAUUGCAUCAGAAACUGUUGAACUUGAGUGCAGAAGAGGAGAGUGGAACUCCAUGUGUAGCGGUGGAAUGCGUAGAUAUAUGGAAGAACACCAGUGGCGAAGGCGGCUCUCUGGUCUGCAACUGACGCUGAGGCUCGAAAGCAUGGGUAGCGAACA
rnacentral:rRNA from 1 species